rnacentral:rRNA from 1 species
CAGUCGCCGCGGUAAUACGUAGGAUGCAAGCGUUGUCCGGAUUUAUUGGGCGUAAAGAGUUCGUAGGCGGUUUGUUAAGUCUGAUGUUAAAGAUCGGGGCUCAACCCUGGGAGUGCAUUGGAUACUGGCAGACUGGAGUGUGGUAGAGGCUAGUGGAAUUCCUAGUGUAGCGGUGAAAUGCGUAGAUAUUAGGAAGAACACCAGUGGCGUAGGCGACUAGCUGGGCCAUAACUGACGCUGAGGAACGAAAGCCAGGGGAGCGAAUGGGAUUAGAUACCCGCGUAGUCCCUGUCUCUUAUAC